rnacentral:rRNA from 1 species
UACGUAGGGUGCAAGCGUUAAUCGGAAUUACUGGGCGUAAAGCGUGCGCAGGCGGUUUUGUAAGUUUGUCGUGAAAGCCCCGGGCUCAACCUGGGAAUUGCGAUGAAGACUGCAAGGCUAGAGUGUGUCAGAGGGGGGUAGAAUUCCACGUGUAGCAGUGAAAUGCGUAGAUAUGUGGAGGAACACCGAUGGCGAAGGCAGCCCCCUGGGAUAACACUGACGCUCAUGCACGAAAGCGUGGGGAGCAAACAGG